rnacentral:lncRNA from 1 species
AUUCCCCAUCAAGAGCUGGACUAGCACACCACCUUCACCUACAUAAUCAUGACAAUCGAGCCAUCUGAACACCUGGUGGUAAGGCAGAGUGAAACAAAGAACAUUAUGCCAUACUCUCCUAUGACUUUCACACUUGUGACACAGCUAGGAGUCAACUACAGCCAUGCAUGCAGUUUCUUACUUUCGACAUGGACUGUGCCUACAGCUAGGACUGUUCACAGAGCAGCAAUUAAUGAAAGCUCUCCCAUGUGAACCAGAUAACUUCAAAAUUUCGGUGUUAAAGUAACUUCCAGAUUCAAACAAAUGCAGUCGUGUACACCCAUUACGAUUACUAGUGGUUAAACCCCUUCAGGAUGGCAAGUGAAGCUAUAGAACUCCAGAAAAA